rnacentral:rRNA from 1 species
AAGGGUGAGUAAGGCGACGGUAACCAACCCCGGGAUUGGGUAUAGCCGCGGGAAACCGCGGGUAAUCCCCAGCGACGCGACGACGCCGGCAUCGGCGUCUCGCCAAAGCCCCGGCGUCCCGGGACGGGCUGUCGUGGUAUUAGCUUGUUGGCGGGGUAACGGCCCACCAAGGCUCUGAUGCCUACCGGGCGUGCGAGCGUGGCCCGGCACACUGGGACUGAGACACUGCCCAGACUCCUACGGGAGGCUGCAGUCGAGAAUCUUCGGCAAUGGGCGCAAGCCUGACCGAGCGACGCCGCGUGGAGGAUGAAGGCCUUCGGGUUGUAAACUCCUGUCGAGGGGGAAAAAGGGCCGCGAGGCCUUGAUUGAUCCCUGGAGGAAGCACGGGCUAAGUUCGUGCCAGCAGCCGCGGUAAGACGAACCGUGCGAACGUUAUUCGGAAUCAUUGGGCUUAAAGCGCGUGUAGGCGGAUUCGUGCGUCUGUCGCUGAAAUCCCCCGGCUCAACCGGGGAACGGGCGCGGAUACGACGAGUCUGGAGGGGCAUAGGGGGACCUGGAACUUCCGGUGGAGCGGUGAAAUGCGUUGA